UUCAGCCGCCCCCUUCCCCAAUUUUUUCUCUGUCUCUUUCUACCCUUCUCGCUUCAGUUCAGCCGCUCCUUCACUCAAUUCUCUCUCUCUCUCAAUAAGCUCCAAAACACUAAAAAAAAGUCGGAAAAUUUUAAAGUAAUAAGAUAUUUCAGUGCUUUUUGGGGCGUUUACGUCAAGCUGUGAAAAUCUUAUACAUUUGUACAUUACAGAACCCCAAACCAACGAACAUUGGUCGGUCUUUCCUUCCAUUCCUCACAUCCCAUUUUCCCACAAACUUUCUCUGCAGUUUCUUGCCUCUUGAGAUUUUUUUCUUUUUUUCCCGGAAAGUUUCAAGCUUCAGAAGAAUUUUCAUUUUCCCAGAUAAGUUUCCUCUCCAUAUUCUCUGAUUCUUUCUGAACAGAUUCAUAAGAACAUCAAGAAUUUCUGUUUUGGAAAAAAGGGGUAUCUGUUAGCUGUGUUGAAGUAGUAGCUGCUUUAUUUGAAUUGGGGUUUGUUAAUUCUUGGAUAAGUAGUAGCAAAUCCUGAUUUGGAGUGGAAUGCUGGUUUUGUUUGUGUUUUGAGAUUAUGGUGUGGUUUCGGUCGGUUUUGUUUGUGUUUUGAGCUUAUGGUGUGGUUUUGUUUGUGUUUUUCUUUUCCUUACCUUUUCGUUUCUCUUCUCUUCCCUUCCCCUUCCACUGAACCAAACAUAGUCUAAGGUAACCGUUUCUAUAUAUUAAAGCCUUACAUUAUUAUUGAGAGCUUCAGUAAGGGGUAGAGAGAGUCCGAACAGGAGAGAAAAAUCUGAGUACCUGCACCACCGUCAGACCAGUUUUUCUCCGAAAACUUUACCGAAUUUCAGUUUCAGGGUCAUCAAAGCUGUUGGCUAAUAUUCUGUACUCAUGGGUCUAUCUGUUGGGAACUUAAUUGCUAGAUGGGAUGGGAUGAAAUUUGAGAAGUGCCAUUGAUCUAUAGAGGCACUACAAGAAGGGUGAUUCAAAUCCAAAACUUUGCCCAUGUAUUUCCAGAUCGGGACGGUGAUAGAGUCAGCAUCAAACUUUUUCACAGGUAGACUAACAAAGGAGAGAAAGGGAACAAUUGCAUUUGAGGUUAUCUGAUCUCUCCCUUGCUGACUACAGAAACUUCCAUCUUCACUCACCCCCUCAUAAUCAAAAUUUGGAGUCCUCUAUUGUGCAGCUUAACAUUUCCAUUGCUACAGUGAAUGAUCUGAUAAACUGUGAUACUCUUACCAAGUGAUAUGAGAAACAGAAUCCACUAAGCUGAUUUAUAAUUUAUAGCUAUAUUCACAUGUGCUGUUUCUCUUUGAUGUUUGCUCCUUCCCAUAGUAUUCAUUAUAGAAUUGAUUGUGAUUGUUGUGAUGAUAAACGCAUGCUCCAGGAAAUAAUAGUUAUUGAAUGAGUAACGUAAUCAAAAUAAUAGUUAUAGCUUAGAGAAGACAACUCACGACAACUCGUAGCUUACCAAAAAAAAAAAAAAAAAAAAAAAAAAUCUAAUAUUACUAAUUGUUGUUGAAUAUUAAUAAUUCAGUCUUAAAAAAAAAAAAGUCUUCAAAUUGCACUGAUGUUACUAAUUAUUGUUAAAAAUUACUAAUUAUUGUUGAAUAUUAGUAACGUAUCUAAUAUCAAUUACUAAUAUUAGUAACUAAUGAUACUAAUUGCUGUUGAAUAUUACUAAUUGUAGUUGAAUAUUAGUAACAUAUCUAACAUUAAACAUUAGUUAUUGAUAAUAGUAACUGAUGAUAUUAAUUGUCAGAGUAUGAUGGUCAUAGUACACAACCCACGUGGGUGGGUGGCUCAGCAGGUCAGAAAAUGUAAACAAGACAAGACAACACAUAUAGCAUUAACACGAAUGAAUUGAUGAGGUUUACUAUGCAUAUAUUCAUCAUGUAGGAUCCUUUUGGGGUUUUAUUUAUUUAUUUAUUUAUUUAUGGGACUUAUGGGUUAUUUUGAAUUAGGGUUUAAUUAUUCCAAACCCAUGCAGCCCUAAGCCUAGUUUAAGCCUAGUAACUACUAAAUUAUCAACAACGAAAAAUUCCAAACAUGCGCAAAGUAUCAUUAGAAUAAUUUCCUACAUAGAAUUCAAAUAAGUCUAUUGUCAAAUCAUUUUCAUAUUAUGAAUAAUUUACUUGCUUCUGAUCCUCACCUUUUCCAUCAACCUGUAAUGAAAUCCAACUCAUAGCCAAUGAUCAAUCAAGCUUAUUCCUGUCAUUCAAGCAAAGCACCUUCCUAUUUUAGAAAGCAUGAAAAAAAUAUGAAACAUUCUGUUUUAAGAAAGAAUAUUUAAAAGAGAGAGAAUUAACAAAUGAUUCUCAUCGCUUUUUUCAUUACCUAUACAUGAAUACAUGCACAUCAUCAAUUCAUUCAUGUGAUAACAGUAUGAAAAUGAAAUUCAUGCAAAUUUAAUAAUUAUCAUUCAUGUAUAGAUUGAGAGGUCUUCCACGAAAUUUUCACAAUUUCAGUUUUCCACAAAUAAUCACGAGUCUUAGUCUUAGUCUUAGUCAAAAAAAGAAAAAGUUAAUCUUUAAAUUGCACUAAUGUUGCUAAUUGUUGUUAAAGGUUCGUUUAGAUAUCGCUUAUUUUGCUCAAAAUUGAAAACACUGUAGCAAAAUAAUUUUUAAAUGUGUGAAUAGUGCUGUGAGACCCAUUUUUAAUGAAAGUUUUGUUAAAAAAAGAGGUUUGUAAGUCCCGUAAACAGUGCUCGGGGCCCACCAGUUAUUCAGAAACAUGCUUCAAAAGGAAAAAAAAAGGCAGACGCAGGAAACGCAUACUAAAUUUUACUAAUUGGUUGAAUAUUAGUAAUUAAUGUUACUAAUUGUCAGAGUUAUUGGCUGGGUGGCUUAGUAAUCACAAGUCGGUCUCAGUCAAAAGUAAAAAAAAAUUUAAGAGACUUUUGUCAAUUCUCUCUCUUUUAAUUAUUCUUUCUUAAAACAGAAUGUUUCAUUUUGUCAUGCUUUUGUAAAAUAGGAAGGAGCUCAUAAGCUUUUUUUUUUUUUUUUUUUUUUUUAAAAUGUGAUGUAUCGAUUGAUUAUUGCUAAUUUGACGAUUUUAUUUGAAAUAUGUGUAGCCCCCACAAUACAUCACAUCAUAGAGUUAAGAGUGUGAGAGAGAGGGCGUGUUGUCUCCCACUACAACUUUAUAACUACUGAAUGAGUCUAAAUCUCAUAUAGUCCAUGUUACUAUGUGGAAUAAUUGAAGGCACCUGUGCCUAAACCCUAAUUCUUGUACUACGUUUUUUAUUUGAUAGGAAACA